rnacentral:rRNA from 1 species
UACGUAGGGUGCAAGCGUUGUCCGGAAUUAUUGGGCGUAAAGAGCUCGUAGGCGGUUUGUCGCGUCGAAUGUGAAAACCCGGGGCUCAACCCCGGGCCUGCAUUCGAUACGGGCAGACUAGAGUUCGGUAGGGGAGUCUGGAAUUCCUGGUGUAGCGGUGAAAUGCGCAGAUAUCUGGAGGAACACCGGUGGCGAAGGCGGCAUCCUGGACCAACACUGACGCUGAGGAGCGAAAGCCAGGGAGCAAAGCGGG